rnacentral:lncRNA from 1 species
UUAAGAAGCUUGUAGGAGGGGAAGUUGGUUCAAUUGGAGUAUCGAGGCUUGUGGUGAAUUUGUGGAGGUACAUGUUUAGGUAAGCUCUGGCUAGGAAAGACUUGGUAAUUGAGUGGUCACGCCGGACCCACCUCUCUUUCCUGGGAACUUACCUGGUGUGCUGAUCACGAGCUACAAACGAGGUUCUAAGCAAGUGUUUUUCAUCCACGGAUAUUGGUCAGCGAUACGUUACAAUGGGAAGCAUCAAGUUUGAUAUUGAGAAAUUUGAUGGAUAAUCAAUUUUGGCUUGUGGCAAGUUCAAGUCAGGGAUAUAUUGAUUCAAUCAGGUCUACACAAGGCCCUGAAGGGAAAACUAAUAGCAGGUUCUAAUGAUGAUUCAUCAAGCAAGAGAGAUGAAGAAUGAAAUGAUUUGGAUUUGAGAGCUGCAAGUGCGAUACGGUUAUCGUGAUUCUUUUUCUCUUCCUAUAUAUAUGGGUCCGUGCAGCAUUUCCACGAUAUCGUUAUGAUCAAUUAAUGGGACUUGGCAUCACUGGCAAAGAAUGUCCUUGCAAAUGUGCAUGGAAUUGCGAAGGCCAAUGAGCUAUGGGAAAAGUUGGAAAAGCUGUAUCAAACAAAGGGAGUCUCAAAUCGGGUAUACCUGAAGGAACAAUUUCAUACAUUGCGUAUGGGUGAGGGUACUAAAAUCUCGGAUCAUUCGAGUGUUCUCAAUGGGAUUGUCUCUGAAAACAAAGGGAGUCUCAAAUCGGGUGUACCUGAAAGAACAAUUUCAUACAUUGCGUAUGAGUGAGGGUACUAAAAUCUCGGAUCAUUUGAGUGUUCUCAAUGGGAUUGUUUCUGAGCUUGAAGCUAUUGGGGUGAAGAUAGAUGAGGAGGAUCAAGCCUUAAGAUUCGUCUGGUCUCUUCCUUGUCUUUUGCGCACAUGAAGCCAAUAUUGCUCCAUGGGAAGGAGCAGGUGGAUCUUUCAGAANNN